rnacentral:rRNA from 1 species
CUUCCGUAGGGUGAACCUGCGGAAGGAUCAUUACCGAGUGUAGGGUUCCUAGCGAGCCCAACCUCCCACCCGUGUUUACUGUAACCUUAGUUGCUUCGGCGGGCCCGCCUUUAAGGCCGCCGGGGGGCAUCAGCCCCCGGGCCCGCGCCCGCCGGAGACACCACGAACUCUGUCUGAUCUAGUGAAGUCUGAGUUGAUUGUAUCGCAAUCAGUUAAAACUUUCAACAAUGGAUCUCUUGGUUCCGGCAUCGAUGAAGAACGCAGCGAAAUGCGAUAACUAGUGUGAAUUGCAGAAUUCCGUGAAUCAUCGAGUCUUUGAACGCACAUUGCGCCCCCUGGUAUUCCGGGGGGCAUGCCUGUCCGAGCGUCAUUGCUGCCCAUCAAGCACGGCUUGUGUGUUGGGUCGUCGUCCCCUCUUCGGGGGGGACGGGCCCCAAAGGCAGCGGCGGCACCGCGUCCGAUCCUCGAGCGUAUGGGGCUUUGUCACCCGCUCUGUAGGCCCGGCCGGCGCUUGCCGAACGCAAAACAACCAUUCUUUCCAGGUUGACCUCGGAUCAGGUAGGGAUACCCGCUGAACUUAAGCAUAUCAAUAAGCGGAGGAA